GACGUAGGGUCCAAGCGUUGUCCGGAUUUACUGGGCGUAAAGAGCGCGUAGGCGGUCUGUUAAGGGUAGAGUGAAAUCUCCAGGGCUCAACCCGGAAACUGCUCUGCAUACUGGCAGACUGGAGUGAUGCAGAGGUUUGUGGAAUUCCUGGUGUAACGGUGAAAUGUGUUGAUAUCAGGAGGAACACCCAUGGCGAAGGCAGCAAACUGGGCAUUAACUGACGCUGAGGCGCGAAAGCGUGGGUAGCAAACAGG
rnacentral:rRNA from 1 species